CGCUUUUGAAAAGAAAAAAUCGUAACAAUGUUUCCGUAGGUGAACCUGCGGAGGGAUCAUUG
rnacentral:rRNA from 1 species